UCCAGACUCCUACGGGAGGCAGCAGUGGGGAAUAUUGCACAAUGGGGGGAACCCUGAUGCAGCGACGCCGCGUGGGUGAAGGAGCACCUCGGUACGUAAAGCCCUAUCGGCAGGGAAGAAAAGCGAACAGGUUCGCCUGGACGGUACCUGACUAAGAAGCCCCGGCUAACUACGUGCCAGCAGCCGCGGUAAUACGUAGGGGGCAAGCGUUAUCCGGAUUCACUGGGUGUAAAGGGAGCGUAGACGGCGACGCAAGUCUGGAGUGAAAGCCCGGGGCCCAACCCCGGGACUGCUCUGGAAACUGUAUGGCUGGAGUGCAGGAGAGGUAAGUGGAAUUCCUAGUGUAGCGGUGAAAUGCGUAGAUAUUAGGAGGAACACCAGUGGCGAAGGCGGCCUACUGGACGGUGACUGACGCUGAGGCUCGAAAGCGUGGGGAGCAAACAGGAUUAGAUACCCCGGUAGA
rnacentral:rRNA from 1 species